GGGACUGGCCAUUGUUACCUCAUGCUAGUGAUGUUGCUUGACUAAAAAAGAGAGCCUGGGCAUUAUGACUUCAUGACUGGUCAUACUGAUGCCACUUGUCUGUAUAACAGAUAUGAGCCAUGUGGCCUCAUACUUGUGCUUACUGUUUGAAGGAGAAAGACCGGCCAAGAAGAGGGGCCAACAAUGGUGACUGUGAUGAUACUUCUAACCUAAUGGAGAAAGAUUAACCAAUGUCAUUUCAUGCUCACACAACCGGACAGAAGGAGAGAGGUGCAGUUGGUGGCCAGAGUUUGAUCCAAUCCCUUGCACGGACUGAAAACAAAGAGGAAAUGCACGCUUGGCUCAAAGGACAAAUGAAGAAAAUGAUGCUAGACUUUCAGAACAGACUGCGAGGCGGAGAAGAAGGCAAUAGAGAUGACCACAACUGGGGAAAACUCAGAGAGAGGUUCAAGGAUGUACUUUGGGGUGUAUUCCAGAGGUGAUGUCAAAACAUCAGUGUAUUUUGAGAGCAUUUCUUGUAUUUUCCCCAACUUUUAAUCUAUGGAACAUCGCCUCCAGUAAGACAAGCAAAAGGGACUUUAGAACUACUGUAUGUGUCUGUAUAGCAAUGACAUGCAAAUCUAGAAGGCCGGAAGACCAAGGUUUCAACUUAAGCAGUCUCUGUGGACCACCUUAGGCUAAAUAUACUUAUUAGGAAACAGUAGGGAGAUCAGAAACAAUGGGAUGCCCAUUUAUUUAUUUAUUAUUUAUUUAUUUAUUGGACUUAUAUAC
rnacentral:lncRNA from 1 species